GACGUAGGGCGCGAGCGUUGUCCGGAUUUAUUGGGCGUAAAGAGCUCGUAGGCGGCUUGUCGCGUCGACUGUGAAAACCCGCGGCUCAACUGCGGGCCUGCAGCCGAUACGGGCAGGCUAGAGUUCGGUAGGGGAGACUGGAAUUCCUGGUGUAGCGGUGAAAUGCGCAGAUAUCAGGAGGAACACCGGUGGCGAAGGCGGCGACCUGGGUAGAUACUGACGCUGAGGUGCGAAAGCGUGGGGAGCAAACGGG
rnacentral:rRNA from 1 species